GGCUCGGUAGUGGAUGGUUCACAUCUGUAUUGAAUUCAAAGGCCCGAAAAAAAUCGAGUAGAAGCCGCCCGUUCGAUUCGGGCCUGAGCCA